UACAGAGGGUGCGAGCGUUAAUCGGAAUUACUGGGCGUAAAGCGCACGCAGGUGGCUGAGUCAGUCGAUUGUGAAAGCCCUGAGCUUAACCUGGGAAUUGCAGUCGAUACUACUCAGCUAGAGUAUGGGAGAGGGCAGUGGAAUUCCCGGUGUAGCGGUGAAAUGCGUAGAUAUGCGGAGGAACACCGAUGGCGAAGGCAAUCCCCUGGGCCUGCACUGACGCUCAUGCACGAAAGCGUGGGGAGCAAACAGG
rnacentral:rRNA from 1 species